rnacentral:ncRNA from 2 species
UGACAGAAGAGAGUGAGCA